AUUGAACGCUGGCGGCAGGCCUAACACAUGCAAGUCGAGCGUGCGGCGGACGGGUGAGUAAUGUCUGGGACCCCGCCUGAUGGAGGGGGAUCACUUCUAGACACGGUAGCUCAUCCCGCAUACCAUCAGAUGUGCCCAGAUGGGAUGAGCUAGGAGGUGGGGUAAUGGCUCACCUAGGCGACGAUCCCUAGCUGGUCUGAGAGGAUGACCAGCCACACUGGAACUGAGAAACGGUACAGACACCUACGGGAGGCAGCAGUGGGGAAUAUUGCACAAUGGGCGCAAGCCUGAUGCAGCCAUGCCGCGUGUAUGAAGAAGGCCUUCGGGUUGUAAAGCACGUUCAGCGAGGAGGCGUUACUCGCAGAAGAAGCACCGGCUAACUCCGUGCCAGCAGCCGCGGUAAUAC
rnacentral:rRNA from 1 species